rnacentral:sRNA from 1 species
GUGCGUACGGUCCCCGCUGAGGGGUGACGGCGCGUCCCCCUGGAGGAGGAACGGCUCUCCGUCAUCGAGAGGGACAACCGCCUGCUCCUGGAGAAGGUGGCCUCUGUCAUGAGGACCAGGGGACAGACUGACAGCAAAAACAACUCCAAGCACAGGAGUCUGCACAGGGGGAAGAGAGAACAGGAACUUCGCAGAGUGCGGAAGAAAACACGGCCAUUCUGGAAGGAAUCACACACUCAUAACCAUGGUAUGGAGCUCAAAGGUGGUGUGAAGACUGGGGCAGGGCUGAGAAGUCCCGGGUGCUGGUGCGGAAUCUCCCUGGAGACAGCAGAUAUGCCAAACAAAAAGCAGGAAGUGAAACUGGAAUUUAGCAAGCGCACAGCCAAGCCUGGACCCUAAAAGAGAAGUGAGGAAGGGUGAGGAUUCAGAACACAAAUCCAGAAAGAAGACACG